AGGCUGCGAGCUUACCAUGCAGUCGAGCGGUAACAGGGGGUGCUUGCACCCCGCUGACGAGCGGCGGACGGGUGAGUAAUGCAUAGGAAUCUGCCCAGUAGUGGGGGAUAGCCCGGGGAAACCCGGAUUAAUACCGCAUACGCCCUUUGGGGGAAAGCAGGGGAUCUUCGGACCUUGCGCUAUUGGAUGAGCCUAUGUCGGAUUAGCUAGUUGGUGGGGUAAAGGCCUACCAAGGCGACGAUCCGUAGCUGGUCUGAGAGGAUGAUCAGCCACAUCGGGACUGAGACACGGCCCGAACUCCUACGGGAGGCAGCAGUGGGGAAUAUUGGACAAUGGGGGCAACCCUGAUCCAGCCAUGCCGCGUGUGUGAAGAAGGCUUUCGGGUUGUAAAGCACUUUCAGUGAGGAGGAAAACCUUCUGGUUAAUACCCAUGAGGCUUGACGUUACUCACAGAAGAAGCACCGGCUAACUCCGUGCCAGCAGCCGCGGUAAUACGGAGGGUGCAAGCGUUAAUCGGAAUUACUGGGCGUAAAGCGCGCGUAGGUGGUUUGAUAAGCGAGAUGUGAAAGCCCCGGGCUUAACCUGGGAACGGCAUUUCGAACUGUCAGGC
rnacentral:rRNA from 1 species